UUGGAGGGCAAGUCUGGUGCCAGCAGCCGCGGUAAUUCCAGCUCCAAUAGCGUAUAUUAAAGUUGUUGCAGUUAAAAAGCUCGUAGUUGAAUUUCGAGACCGGCUUAUUGGUCGUGCUUUUGUACGUACUGGUAUAAUCGGUUUCUCCUUUCUGACGAACUAUAAUGCCAUUAAUUUGGUGUUAUAGGGAAUCAGGACUGUUACUUUGAAAAAAUUAGAGUGUUUAAAGCAGGCUCACGCUUGAAUACAUUAGCAUGGAAUAACGGAAUAGGACGUUUGAUUCUAUUUUGUUGGUUUCUAGGAUCGACGUAAUGAUUAAUAGGGAUAGUUGGGGGCAUUAGUAUUCAAUUGUCAGAGGUGAAAUUCUUGGAUUUAUUGAAGACUAACUACUGCGAAAGCAUUUGCCAAGGAUGUUUUCAUUAAUCAAGAACGAAAGUUAGGGGAUCGAAGACGAUCAGAUACCGUCGUAGUCUUAACCAUAAACUAUGCCGACUAGGGAUCGGAUGAUGUUAAUUUUUUAAUGACUCAUUCGGCGCCUUACGGGAAAC
rnacentral:rRNA from 2 species